AUGAGAUAGGUGUUCAAAUCCAAAUCUUUUUUCAUAAGUUAAAACAAGUGCGUAAAAUAUUUUGAAUUGUACAAAAUUAUACCAAUAUGACAAGAAAAAAUAUUUAAAACAGUAAUUAGACUUUUUACAUUCUUAACAACGAAUAAAAUGAGCAAUAAUAAAGCUAUUUUGAGCAAAACUCAACUAGUGAACACGAACACGAUCAAUAAUAACAAUAACAAAGAUCGUCAUCAUCAUAGCGGUGUUAUUCAAAAAAAUGAGGAGCUAGUAACAGAAAAGCAUUAUGGCUGUUAUCGUGUCGGAGUCUUAAUUUCACUAUUAAUAGUUCUCAUACUUAUUUUGGGAUGUACUCCUGUUUUUGUCGGAUCUGCUGACAGUAAACUUAUUUUAACAGUAUUAAUAGUAUGCAUGAUAGUGGCUGGUUUAUUAACUUUUGCAUAUUUUGAAUACCUAAGACGUCGUGCUAUACUAAUGCGCCAAAAUAGUAUACGAGGAACUUACACAACGAUAGAACGAAAAUCUAAAGAACAAGAGAAGUACGUCAGUAUCAAAAGGAAGCAGGGAGAAAAAUUAAAAAGUUUAACAACUACAACGAAAUAUUCCCCAGUGUAGCCGAUGCCAAUCAAAUUUGUGUCCUGUGCAAUUUAAAAUUUUAACAAAAAAACAUAGUU